rnacentral:tRNA from 1 species
GGGCGAGUGGCGAAACGGUAUACGCGCAGUCUUCAGAAGGCUGUGGGAGAAAUCCCGUGGAGGUUCAAAUCCUCUCUCGCCCA